rnacentral:rRNA from 1 species
CCUACGGGUGGCAGCAGUGGGGAAUAUUGCGCAAUGGGGGCAACCCUGACGCAGCGACGCCGCGUGAGUGAAGAAGGAUUUCGGUUUGUAAACUUCUUUUAUCAGGGACGAAGCAAGUGACGCUACCUGAUGAAUCAGCCACGACUAACUACGUGCCAGCAGCCGCGGUAAUACGUAGGUGGCAAGCGUUAUCCGGAUUUACUGGGUGUAAAGGGCGUGUAGGCGGGCGUGCAAGUCAGAUGUGAAAACUAUGGGCUCAACUCAUAGACUGCAUUUGAAACUGGACUUCUAGAGUGCUGGAGAGGUAAGCGGAAUUCCGAGUGUAGCGGUGAAAUGCGUAGAUAGACGGAGGAACACCAGUGGCGAAGGCGGAUUGCUGGACAGUAACUGACGUUGAGGCGCGAAAGCGUGGGGAGCAAACAGGAUUAGAUACCCUGGUAGUC